CAAUAGCCCCGGCAGGAGCGGCAUCCUUUUUGGUGCCGAUUUUUUUCGGCACCAAAAAGAUAUAGCGGAUGACGGGACGAUGC
rnacentral:sRNA from 1 species